AGACAGACCCAAAGCUUCCCACACCAAUCAAAUUUUCCGAAGAGAGCCCAUCAGUUGCCUUAAGAAUCAUGUCAUAUGAAAUCUUCUGAAAUGACCUUAUUUGCAAGGAAGUAGGUGAUUGCUCCCUUUUCUUCUUCUUGAACCUAUAAUACAUGGCAGUUGACAGUAUAGUAAUGCCAAAAACAAUUGAAAUGGCGACCACAGCUAUUUUGACAAGACGCAGUUUGCUUCUCUUUGUUGCUUCAACAGGGCAUCUUGGCAAAUGUAGCUCAAGUAUACCUCCACAAAGCAUACUGUUUCCUGCAACUGAUAUUGCAC
rnacentral:misc_RNA from 1 species